CCCAAAGAAGCGUACCACCCAGACUGUUGCAUGUCCAGAGUGAAGCAUGGGGGUGGAUCAGUGAUGGUUUGGGACUUUAUGGCUGAUGUCUUGAGAUGCUGCUUCAAUAUUUUCACAUUUAAUGUUCUUUCCUUAUGAUACCAUCUAUUGCAUUAAGUGCACCAGUGCAUUUGUAUGGCAAAACACUGUACAUAAUGACACUCUCUUACCAGCUUCAGUCAGCAUCUUCACAACAUCGUUUGCUCAGUUUUACUUUUAUGAAAUGUUUUAUUCUUGUUUUAUCAAAUCUGCUCUUACUUGUUUCUUUUUAUCUGAUGGUAUGAGUCACUUAAUGUCAAACAAAAAAAAAAUAAUUUCAGAAUAUUGUAAAGAUUUGUGGUAAGAUUGCCAUGACUUCCUUUCAGAACUUUAGUGGAACUGUAUCAGGUCAGCUUACAUAAAAAAAAAAAGCCCCAUCAUAUCCUGGUUGAUUCAAAUUAUCCAUUAUGGACUGACUUUAUUUAGCUCCCAUCAGGGUGCAGCUAUACCCUGUAGUGAUGCAAAACUCUUUUUGUACUCGAUUUUUCAAUGAUGUCACGCAAGGAAGCUGUAUGUUUAAGGUCUAGGGGUGUGCCUCUAUUUCAAUUCAGUUUAUUUAUAUAGCACCAAUUCACAACUCGUCAUCUCAAUUUGACUCGAAUGUUGUGAAUCAGUCAAUAAGAAGCUUACAAAGCCAUAUCAUCUGGGUUUUCCUAUCUUAAAUAACAAAAAGUAAACAUUUUGUUUCAUUUCAUGUCACACAUUGAAGGGGAAAAAAGUUAUGUGCAGUUUAUUUAUUUUACGUUGACUUUAUUUAAAAGGGGAUAAUGUUCAAUUUAAACAUAAAUUUCCCCAUUUGAUGUGCUGCACCAGAUUAUAUAGUUUUUAGCUAAUUCACACCUGCAGUCACUUGACAGAUGAAGAUAAGAAGAGGAAGUUUCAGAACUGUUAAACAUCGAGUUAAGAGUAGUGAAUAAAUAUAUUAUAAUAAUCCAGCAAAGUUAUCACAUAAGCAUGUAUUAUCCUACGCAACUAAGACCCACAACACCAAAUGCCCUAAUUAACAAAUGUUUCAACUGUAUGUACAUAAUUUUUAUUUUUUUAUUUUUUUUCAGUGCUUGUCUUGAUUAUUCUGGGGAUUCACUGGAGUCUUGUACUUCCUGCUCCAAUUAAUUGCAGAUCUGCUUUCAAUCGAAUUCCAGAUCUUACAGGUUUACUGGUACAUGAGACAAAUACGUUAUUGGACGUAUAUGAAAAGAGUAUCAAGCCCCCAAAUCCUCAGGUUCCAGAUGAGGUUCCCAGUGCUGCGGUAACUGGUUUCAACAUUACCGAGAAGCUGCGAGACAUCUACACUAAGGAUGAGCUUUUUCAGUUGCAUCUCUCCCAAGUAGAAAUAUAUGUAAAAGAGCUUUUACCUGAUCCGCAACCUGUUUUGGAUCACUUGUCUGGCCCAAAGGCAAGACUUGUCCAUAUUUUUGAUAUAGUAAAAUAUCUUAUCAAACACAUGGACCCAUUAACGCCUUUGCCGACAUCAACUGCUCCACUACAGCUGUCCCAUAACUAUACCUAUGCACAGAAAGUCUAUGUAUGGAAUGUUAUAGUCAGGCUGAGGGACUGGGGACAAGAAGUACAGCUAAUGAAGGAGGAAAAGUUAAUGUGUGGUAAGAAGCUAAUGAGGACAAAGUAUGCAAUUUCUUGAUUUUUAAAUGUUUUGUUUUUUUCAAAUGUCUGUAAUGAUCAAGAUUCUUUAACUGAUAUUAGAGUAAGCCAACAUAACUUUAUUCCUUGAAAAAUAUCAGAAUCAGAAAAGCUUUAUUGCCAGGUACGAUUUUGGACAUACAAGGAAUUUGUUUUGGCGUAGUCGGUGCAAUACAGUACUUAACAAAAAAAACAAUGCGCACCAACACGCCAAGGCGACCAUCUGCGGCGCCAUCUAUUAGCUUCAUCUCAUUCAUAUUGUUGUUAAAAUGUGUCUUCUGACCAAAUGUAAUGUUGAUGUUGGAAAUGACAGCCAUCAUUUGCAGAUUAUCUUUUAUUGAGUUUAAAACUUUUCAGAUUUGAAUGCUUUUUAUUAUUUGUUAGCUAAAACUGUAAAUGCACUGGAAUUGUUUGCAGUUGUUUGAUGAAACCUGAAUUAUUUAAAUAUUUAUAAAAUAUGUAUUUAUUUAACAGUGGAAA